GCCUCAGGGAUAGCUCAGUUGAUAAGAGCAUGAGAUUAUUAAUCUCAGGGUCUUGGGUUUGACCUCCCUGUUGGGCA